AGCACAGUCGUAGCGAUACGAUGGGUGGCGAGUGGCGGACGGGUGAGGAAUACAUCGGGACCUAGCCUAGACGUGGGGGAUAACGUAGGGAACUUACGCUAAUACCGCAUACGUCCUACGGGAGAAAGCGGGGGAUCUUCGGACCUCGCGCGAUUAGACGGACCGAUGUUCGAUUAGCUAGUUGGUGGGGUAACGGCUUACCAAGGCGACGAUCGAUAGCUGGUCUGAGAGGAUGAUCAGCCACACUGGGACUGAGCCACG
rnacentral:rRNA from 1 species